UGGGGAAUAUUGCACAAUGGGCGCAAGCCUGAUGCAGCCAUGCCGCGUGUGUGAAGAAGGCCUUCGGGUUGUAAAGCACUUUCAGCGAGGAGGAAGGGUAGUGUGUUAAUAGCACAUUGCAUUGACGUUACUCGCAGAAGAAGCACCGGCUAACUCCGUGCCAGCAGCCGCGGUAAUACGGAGGGUGCAAGCGUUAAUCGGAAUUACUGGGCGUAAAGCGCACGCAGGCGGUUUGUUAAGUCAGAUGUGAAAUCCCCGCGCUUAACGUGGGAACUGCAUUGGAAACGGGCAAGCUAGAGUCUUGUAGAGGGGGGUAGAAUUCCAGGGGUAGCGGUGAAAUGCGUAGAGAUCUGGAGGAAUACCGGUGGCGAAGGCGGCCCCCUGGACAAAGACUGACGCUCAGGUGCGAAAGCGUGGGGAGCAAACA
rnacentral:rRNA from 1 species